UACGUAGGGCGCAAGCGUUAUCCGGAAUUAUUGGGCGUAAAGAGCUCGUAGGCGGUUUGUCGCGUCUGCCGUGAAAGUCCGGGCUCAACUCCGGAUCUGCGGUGGGUACGGGCAGACUAGAGUGAUGUAGGGGAGACUGGAAUUCCUGGUGUAGCGGUGAAAAUGCGCAGAUAUCAGGAGGAACACCGAUGGCGAAGGCAGGUCUCUGGGCAUUAACUGACGCUGAGGAGCGAAAGCAUGGGGAGCGAACAGG
rnacentral:rRNA from 1 species